rnacentral:rRNA from 1 species
UACGUAGGGGGCAAGCGUUGUCCGGAAUCAUUGGGCGUAAAGCGCGUGUAGGCGGCUCGAUAAGUCUGCUGUGAAAGUUGAGGGCUCAACCCUGAAAUGCCGGUGGAAACUGUCGAGCUAGAGUGUGUCAGAGGAUGGUGGAAUUCCCGGUGUAGCGGUGAAAUGCGUAGAGAUCGGGAGGAACACCAGUGGCGAAGGCGGCGAUCUGGGACAAAACUGACGCUGAGGCACGAAAGCGUGGGGAGCAAACAGG